AUCAACUAACUGGAUCGAGUGUUCUUCUACCUUGCUGCUCAAUCUGUUCGGGGGAUGGGAUAUGUGCCUCUAUCAGUUCUCCUUUGGCCAUAAACUCGAGCUCCACCUGGUGUAAGGAUUCUACACCCACCACCUCUGGAAGGACAAAGGAGUAUCGGCAAUCGAUGUG